rnacentral:rRNA from 1 species
CCUACGGGAGGCAGCAGUGAGGAAUAUUGCGCAAUGGAGGCAACUCUGACGCAGCCAUGCCGCGUGCAGGAAGAAGGCGCUACGCGUUGUAAACUGCUUUUAUCCGGGAAGAAACCCCUCUACGUGUGGAGGGUUGACGGUACCGGAGGAAUAAGCACCGGCUAACUUCGUGCCAGCAGCCGCGGUAAUACGAAGGGUGCAAGCGUUAUCCGGAUUCAUUGGGUUUAAAGGGUGCGUAGGUGGGGCGUUAAGUCAGUGGUGAAAUCCUGCAGCUCAACUGUAGACUUGCCAUUGAUACUGGCGCUCUUGAGUGCGGCUUGAAGUAGGCGGAAUGUGCCGUGUAGCGGUGAAAUGCUUAGAUAUGGCACAGAACACCAAUUGCGAAGGCAGCUUACUAAGGCGAUACUGACACUGAGGCACGAAAGCGUGGGGAUCGAACAGGAUUAGAUACCCUGGUAGUCCACGACCGUAACGAUAGAUCACUCGAGAGUGGUCGAUAUACGUACGAGUCGUCCGUACGACGAAGACGUUAAGUAAGUA